AAUGAAGGUGGUCAAGUGUAGCGAAAUUAUUUCCUCAUCAAACUAUUUAUUUCAUAUGGUUAAUGGAAUUAUUCAAGAUCGGAUCAAGAGAAAGCUUAUAUAAAUAGCAUAUGAAACAACUAGCUCAAGUUCUUGGAAGUGAGGAAGAGGCUAAGAAGAAGAUAUACUCUGUUUCCACUACUUGGCGCCCUCAUUUCCGAAGAGCUUUCUUACAAAGUUAAAGCAUUUUUGAUAUCACAAUUGCUUUGUAUUUAAAAGACUCCUCAACACUCUUAUUUCUUGAUGAACCAACAAGUGGACUUGACACUGUUGCCUCUUACUAUGUCAUGAAAAGAAUUAAAUCCCUUGAUCAUAAAUAUGCCAUUCAAAGGACAGUUAUUUCAUCAAUCCAUCAGCCUAGUGCUGAAGUUUUUCAAUUCCUUGAUAAUCUCUGUUUGCUCUCUGCUGGCGAAGCUUGAAGCGAAGCUCGGAAUGAUAGUUAACUCCGUUGGUAACUUCUUCUCUAGCAAAGACCAGCUUCUCCACUAACUGAAUCAAAUCGAAUCAAAUACUUUAUAUAUAAGGUUGCAUAGAUCUUCAAUCUUUUGAUCUAUUCGCACUCCACUAACCAGGUUGGAAUUGAAAUGCAGAGAUUAAAAAAGAAAAGAAAUUAAAAAAGGAUCUAAAAUCAUGAACUGAUUAAAGAGGAAAAGAGAGAGGGCAAAGAGGACCAAAGCUGAAGAUUUUGAUGCUGAAGAGAGAACUCAAAUUUUCCUUUUUAGUUUUCUAAUGCAGUCCCGCAUUUACUCUUUUUGUUCUAAUUCUUAUUUUUGUUUACCUGUAGGUCUGACAGUGAGCUUUUGGGUCCAAACAAUUAGUACCUUCCUAAAAUAGUUUCAGUUUUUGUUGAGGUUUUGUGUGCUGGAAAGGACCUCGCAACGGAACAAACUGCUGGCCGCAUGAUUAAUCUGCUCAGACAACUUCAACAAACUUUACCGCCUGCAACUCUUGCUUCUAGUUAAUGUUGCCCAUUUUUUUGGUCAUCUCUGCAGCCGCAACAACAACUUGCAUUACAAUCCAUCCUUUCUUCAUAGUUUCCAUGGUUUUGCUUCCUUGAAGUCUAUCCUUUCUUGAUAGCGUCACAUCUGAGUUUGCUAUUGGUGUCUUACACUGCUUGGGGACAUGCUUUUUCCGGUUUGGUGGUCUCUCAAUUUGUUACCCAUUCUUUGCCAUAAGAUGGUUUCCAUCAUUCAUUCUUGCAUGGUGUUUUUAUAGCAACAUGGCUUCAGUUUUGAGAAUGCAGAUUCAAUUGUGAUUGGAAAGGAAACUUUCUGUAGAAUGUGUAUAUUACGAGUGUUAAUAGUGCCGUUUAGCCCAAAAUAAGA